rnacentral:rRNA from 1 species
AGUGAACGCUGGCGGUAGGCCUAACACAUGCAAGUCGAACGGCAGCACAGUAAGAGCUUGCUCUUACGGGUGGCGAGUGGCGGACGGGUGAGGAAUACAUCGGAAUCUAUUUUUUCGUGGGGGAUAACGUAGGGAAACUUACGCUAAUACCGCAUACGACCUACGGGUGAAAGCAGGGGAUCUUCGGACCUUGCGCGAUUGAAUGAGCCGAUGUCGGAUUAGCUAGUUGGCGGGGUAAAGGCCCACCAAGGCGACGAUCCGUAGCUGGUCUGAGAGGAUGAUCAGCCACACUGGAACUGAGACACGGUCCAGACUCCUACGGGAGGCAGCAGUGGGGAAUAUUGGACAAAGGGCGCAAGCCUGAUCCAGCCAUACCGCGUGGGUGAAGAAGGCCUUCGGGUUGUAAAGCCCUUUUGUUGGGAAAGGAAAGCAGCAGGUUAAUACCCCGCUGUUCUGACGGUACCCAAAGAAUAAGCACCGGCUAACUUCGUG